rnacentral:rRNA from 1 species
GAUGAACGCUAGCGGCAUGCCUUACACAUGCAAGUCGAACGGCAGCGGGGGAGAAGCUUGCUUUUCCUGCCGGCGAGUGGCGAACGGGUGAGUAAUACAUCGGAACGUGCCCUGUAGUGGGGGAUAACUAGUCGAAAGAUUAGCUAAUACCGCAUACGACCUGAGGGUGAAAGUGGGGGACCGCAAGGCCUCAUGCUAUAGGAGCGGCCGAUGUCUGAUUAGCUAGUUGGUGGGGUAAAGGCCUACCAAGGCGACGAUCAGUAGCUGGUCUGAGAGGACGAUCAGCCACACUGGGACUGAGACACGGCCCAGACUCCUACGGGAGGCAGCAGUGGGGAAUUUUGGACAAUGGGCGAAAGCCUGAUCCAGCAAUGCCGCGUGUGUGAAGAAGGCCUUCGGGUUGUAAAGCACUUUUGUCCGGAAAGAAAUGGCUCUGGUUAAUACCUGGGGUCGAUGACGGUACCGGAAGAAUAAGGACCGGCUAACUACGUGCCAGCCGCCGCAGUAACAC